rnacentral:rRNA from 1 species
AGGAAUAUUGGGCAAUGCCCGCAAGGGUGACCCAGCAACGCCGCGUGGAGGAUGAAUGUCGUAAGAUUGUAAACUCCUGUUAGAGGGGAAGAAUAGUACCGGUUGGACCGGUAUAUGACUGUACCCUCAGAGAAAGCCCCGGCUAACUACGUGCCAGCAGCCGCGGUAAUACGUAGGGGGCAAGCGUUGUCCGGAUUUACUGGGUGUAAAGGGCGCGCAGGCGGGAUAAAAAGUCAGUGGUUAAAUCCUACAGCUUAACUGUA